rnacentral:rRNA from 1 species
CACGUAGGGCGCAAGCGUUGUCCGGAAUUAUUGGGCGUAAAGAGCUCGUAGGCGGUCUGUUGCGUCUGCUGUGAAAACCCGGGGCUUAACCCCUGGCUUGCAGUGGAUACGGACAGACUAGAGGUAGGUAGGGGAGAAUGGAAUUCCCGGUGUAGCGGUGAAAUGCGCAGAUAUCGGGAGGAACACCGGUGGCGAAGGCGGUUCUCUGGGCCUUACCUGACGCUGAGGAGCGAAAGCGUGGGGAGCGAACAGGAUUAGAUACC